CCCUGUCCUGUCCUGGCCGGGACUCCUCGGUCUUGGACUCGACCAAGCUUGGACGCAGUUGGAAUUGGCUUGGACUAGCUGUCGCUAUCGCUGCAGGGCAAUUAGAACAUUAUCAGGCGGCAAUAAUCGGCUCGUUUGCACCCAAGUGUCAUCGCUCGACUCGGACUGGGACUCAGACUGGGACUCAGACUCGGACUCGGUCGCCCGCUCGCUGUCGUAAUAAUAAAAGGCAUGGGUUGGGCAUUGGCAAUCUCUGUCUGUCUCUGUCUGCAUUCUGCUCUCAAUAUCUUGUGGAGUAUGUUGGCUGGAAAAACAACAGGAUAUCUGUGUGUGUCUGUCCGCCAUUCGGCAGUCUAUCUGGGGAAUGUCUUUUGUUGUCCACUAUACCAUUUCCAAAUGCAAUGCAAACCAGCAGUGAGGAGAGCAGUCAGCAGAGCAGAUAGGCAGGCGACAAUGUCGGCGGCGACAGUCGGGCAUCAAAGUCGAUUAUCACGGUUUUUGGGAUUUGCCUUAAAUCACGCACCAGUCAGCAGUCAGCAGACAGCAGCCAGCAGUCAGAGAUCUUCGGGGCUACAGCUCAAUUAAAAUUCUUGGAAUACGCUCAACACUUUCCAAGACCCCUCCCUCCUCCACUGUGUGCCCAUUGUCUGUGUGCUCGUCUGCACAAUAUUUUCGAGGCGGUUUUGUGGUUUUUGAUGUUCCUCUUCUGCGUCUCCCCCCAGGUCCUGCUAAUCUGCUAAAUUAAUGAUAAUGCGCGCGGCAAAGUCGUAAAUAUUGCAGCACCAGCAGCAGGAGAAUGCCGGAAUGGAUACUCGGCUGACCAUUGUCCGGGCCAGAGCCCGUUCGCGUCAGAGCCGGAGUCAGAGCCUGGCUGUGUCCUGUCCUGCUCGGGGGCGAAAAACAUUGGAAUCCAGCAAAUCCACCCGUCUUAGUUCUAAUUCUUUUCACAGUCCAGCGCAGCCCCUUGACAUGGCAGGGGAUUUGGCAGGAGAAGGCAGGAAGGGGAAAGGGGCGACUAGCCGUGCUCCAUGUCAUUCAAUUUGCAUUUGCAUGAGCAGACCUUGAAGCCCAGCUGGACCUUUUCCAUUGGAAAGAUAGCGGCUAUCGGAUGGGACUCUCGCCUGGCCAUGACUUGACCUACCCCCAAAGAUCAUCAUCGGAAUCGAGGCAUGCGCACUGAUCGGCCACUCUGCGAGAUGCCUCCCCCAAAAGCGGUUUUCCCAGCUGACCAGCUGUUGACCCACUGAGUAGCUGGCGGCCAUAUUUACAGAAUGGGGAUGGUGCUGGGGAUCUAUGGGAGGGCGGAUUUGAUGCCAAAGGGUGGCAUUGGAAACUCAUAAAAAAACAUAAAUUGCAAAUCUGCAUUAACUGACAAGCAAACGAAAUUCUUUUCUUUUUUAGAUAAAACAUUAAAGCAAAGAUAUUGAGCAAGGAGGACCCUGAGCAAGCCAUCGACCAAAGGAGGAGCAUCAGCUGGAGUAGCCAUCCGAGCCAGAGGAGGACAAGGUGGAGCCUCCUGUGAAUGAGAAAUUACAAAUCUGCAGGGUAUUCGAACGUCUGUCAACCCCAUGCUGAUGUCGGUGGUGUUUCCUUUUAGUUGUUUUCAACAGUCUGGCUUCGUCUAGUUGUCCGAGGUCCUAUGACCAGUGUCCGAUGUCCUGCUGCUGUGUCCCUGUGUGUUGUAUGUGUCACUUGGGUUAACUGUGCUACACACGGCACCGUGAGAUGGGUACUACAACCUCAUGCUGUCCUUCUCCCUGUCCCUGUCCAUGUCCAUGGCCAAAGCCAAGUCCAAGUCCAGCUGCUAACAUGUGACGAUGGCAAUUUGCAUUUCAGCGGGAUGCAGAGAGCGUCACUCUGCGGAGGGGGAGGCAGCCAGAGUGGGGGCCGGGCUGUCAGGACACAGACAACGCCAAGUAAUCCCCCAAAGAGAACAUUUAACAUACGGACUUCCAGACCCAGAGACAUGCAAAGUGAUUGAGUGGGGACCGGGACUGGGACUGGGACUGUAAUCGGAACAUGUGUAGAGAUAUUUAUUUAACAAACAUUGCGAAAUAUCAAGAGCGAUACCAGAGGCACGCAGUGGCAGUGGCAGUGGCAGGAAAGGAAAAGAAGGGCAAACAGGCGAAGGACAUCGAAGGGAAGGCACAACGACAAUCGAAAUGCGAAUGGAAAAGGAGAUGGGCGGAACACGAUGGCAAAUCAAAGGUGAAAAGAUGUGAAAAGCAAACGGAACGUGCACCGGGAGCAUUUAACCCAUACCCCAGCUUCGAGCAGAGCCCGGGCACCGGCCCGGACCCAGAUCCGGACCCGAGACCGUACCCAUUUCCAUUCCCAUAGCCAUAACUCCUCCCGGAGCCGGGAGUAAGCCGCUGUUGGGACACACAUGACGUAUUGGCACGAGUCCCUGAGAAGCGAGUUGCGAGGUCGCAGGAGCUCUGUUCUGUGUGCUCUACCGGCUCCGGCUCCAGCUCCGGCUCCGGGGCACUUGAAAGCCCGGGCGUAUCUUGAUUGUUUGCAUGUAAAUCUGCACGAAAUCCCCAAAGUACCCAAGUACCUAGAGUAUCCAAAGGAAGAGGAGACAGAGACAGAGAGAGAGAGAGAGAGAGAGAGAAAGUCCUUGUCGACUGCCACCGCCAUCGCCAUCGCCACCACCUCCGCUAUCCAUCCGACAACUGGCUCUAUGGAUGGAGCCGUCCCCGUAUCGUUACCCUGAUGGAGCCGCUCACCAUCAUCAUCAUCGUCAUGAUGGCCUUGGCGCAUCGCUUCCCAUCGCUCUGUAUCGCUCAGCAUCUCACGGCAUCGGCAUCGGCAUCGUGGCAAUCCCUUGCACAAUUGAACCGAGUCCUGUGUGGGCGAGUUACCUGCUUGAACCGAUCUGUGCCGACUCUGGGAAUACCCUGCAGACACUGCAGAUAUUUACAUAUAUUUGGUAGCUAUAUACAUACAUGUACGACAUAUUUUAUACUAUAUCACGCCACAAUUAAAAUCUUACAGGACCCUUA